GAUGAACGCUGGCGGCGUGCCUAAUACAUGCAAGUCGAGCGAACAGACGAGGAGCUUGCUCCUCUGACGUUAGCGGCGGACGGGUGAGUAACACGUGGAUAACCUACCUAUAAGACUGGGAUAACUUCGGGAAACCGGAUCUAAUACCGGAUAAUAUAUUGAACCGCAUGGUUCAAUAGUGAAAGACGGUUUUGCUGUCACUUAUAGAUGGUUCCGCGCCGCAUUAGCUAGUUGGUAAGGUAACGGCUUACCAAGGCGACGAUGCGUAGCCGACCUGAGAGGGUGAUCGGCCACACUGGAACUGAGACACGGUCCAGACUCCUACGGGAGGCAGCAGUAGGGAAUCUGCCGCAAUGGGCGAAAGCCUGACGGAGCGACGCCGCGUGUGUGAUGAAGGUCUUCGGAUCGUAAAACUCUGUUAUUUGGGAAGAACAAAUGUGUAAGUAACUAUGCACGUCUUGACGGUACCUAAUCAAAAAGCACCGGCUAACUACGUG
rnacentral:rRNA from 1 species